AUUGAACGCUGGCGGCAGGCCUAACACAUGCAAGUCGAGCGGAUGAAGGGAGCUUGCUCCUGGAUUCAGCGGCGGACGGGUGAGUAAUGCCUAGGAAUCUGCCUGGUAGUGGGGGAUAACGUCCGGAAACGGGCGCUAAUACCGCAUACGUCCUGAGGGAGAAAGUGGGGGAUCUUCGGACCUCACGCUAUCAGAUGAGCCUAGGUCGGAUUAGCUAGUUGGUGGGGUAAAGGCCUACCAAGGCGACGAUCCGUAACUGGUCUGAGAGGAUGAUCAGUCACCUUGGAACGGAGACAGGGUCCAGACCCAUAGGGGAGGCAGCAGGGGGGAAUAUUGGAAAAGGGGGGAAAGCCUGAUCCAGCCAUGCCGGGUGGGGGAAGAAGGUUUUGGGAUUGUAAAGACUUUUAAGUGGGGAGGAAGGGAAGGAAGUUAAAACUUUGCUGUUUUGACGUUACCAACAAAAAAAGCACCGGCUAAUUGCGG
rnacentral:rRNA from 1 species